rnacentral:rRNA from 1 species
UACGAAGGGUGCAAGCGUUACUCGGAAUUACUGGGCGUAAAGCGUGCGUAGGCGGUUAUUUAAGUCUGUUGUGAAAUCCCCGGGCUCAACCUGGGAAUGGCAAUGGAUACUGGAUAGCUAGAGUGUGAUAGAGGAUGGUGGAAUUCCCGGUGUAGCGGUGAAAUGCGUAGAGAUCGGGAGGAACAUCAGUGGCGAAGGCGGCCAUCUGGAUCAACACUGACGCUGAGGCACGAAAGCGUGGGGAGCAAACAGG